rnacentral:rRNA from 1 species
AUUGAACGCUGGCGGCAGGCCUAACACAUGCAAGUAGAACGAGUGGCGGACGGGUGAGUAAUGUCUGGGAAAAUGCCUGAUGGCGGGGGAUAAAUACUGGAAACGGUAGCUAAUACCGCAUACCAGCAGAUGUGCCACAAUGGGAUUAGCUAGUUGGUGGGGUAACGGCGCACCAAGGAGACGAUCGCUAGCUGGUCUGAGAGGAUGACCAUCCAUACUGGAACUGAGACACGGGCCAGACUCCUACGGGAGGCAGCAGUGGGUAAUAUUGCACAAUGGGCGCAAGCCUGAUGCAGCCAUGCCGCGUGUAUGAAGAAGGCCGUCGGGUUGUAAAGUACUUUCAGCGGGGAGGCGUUACCCGCAGAAGAAGCACCGGCUAACUCCGUGCCAGCAGCCGCGGUAAUUC